GCGCAUCUAGUGUAGUGGUAUCAUAGUACCCUCCCACGGUACUGAUCGAGGUUCGAUUCCUCGGAUGCGCA